ACCUAUGACCAUAUCAUCCCGAGUGUGCCCAAUCUCAUCAUAUAUUUGAAGUUAAGCAGAAUUUAGACUGGUUAGCGCUUGGAUGGGAGACUUGCCUGGGAAGAGAAGGUGCCCGCGGCAUAGCUG
rnacentral:rRNA from 1 species